rnacentral:lncRNA from 1 species
AGGACUCUUAGGCCUUAACUUUCAUGUAACCUAAUCACAUAAGACUUGAGAAAAGACAAUUAAUUUCGUGGUUAUAUGCAAAGAACAAAAAUAAACAUGCAAUACAAUUGAUUCAGUUGGUUUUGAGAAACUAUGGAUGAAUGGUGUUGUAGGGGUUUACAAUUUCAUCUUAUCCACUCUAAUAUAUCUACUCUUCUUAUUUAAUUCACUUAUUUAUCUAAUUGCCAUGCAUACUUUCUUAAUUACCCUUAACCCAAUCCCUUGGUGAAAAGAGCCUAUCACUAAUUACUGGCUUGCUAUCCCUAGCCUCCCUUAGUAACCAAUAAUGCAAUGCGAUCUGAAGCAAUUACAAUUGACCGUCCUACCCCUAUCC